rnacentral:tRNA from 1 species
UAUAGCUUAGUUGGCUAGAGCGUUCGGUUCAUACCCGAAAGGUCAUAGGUUCGACUCCUAUUA